UACGUAGGGUCCGAGCGUUGUCCGGAAUUAUUGGGCGUAAAGCGCGCGCAGGCGGUCCUUUAAGUCUGAUGUGAAAGCCCACGGCUCAACCGUGGAGGGUCAUUGGAAACUGGGGGACUUGAGUACAGAAGAGAAGAGUGGAAUUCCACGUGUAGCGGUGAAAUGCGUAGAGAUGUGGAGGAACACCAGUGGCGAAGGCGACUCUUUGGUCUGCAACUGACGCUGAGGCGCGAAAGCGUGGGGAGCAAACAGG
rnacentral:rRNA from 1 species